GUGGAUUAGAUACCCUGGUAGUCCACGCCCUAAACGAUGCCAACUAGGUGUUGGGGAAGGAGACUUCCUUAGUACCGUAGCUAACGCGUGAAGUUGGCCGCCUGGGGAGUACGGUCGCAAGAUUAAAACUCAAAGGAAUUGACGGGGACCCGCACAAGCGGUGGAUGAUGUGGAUUAAUUCGAUGCAACGCGAAAAACCUUACCUACCCUUGACAUGCCAGGAAUCCUGCUGAGAGGCGGGAGUGCUCGAAAGAGAGCCUGGACACAGGUGCUGCACGGCCGUCGUCAGCU
rnacentral:rRNA from 1 species